AGCAGCGGCAGCUUGGGAUCCAGCCCCACGCCGGCGGGAUUCGCCUGCAGCUGGUAAUCAGGAAUGACAGCUAUAAAGCAGCCCUGUGCAACACUUGGGAGACCUGCGCCUUGCUGGCACUUGGAGUGAAUUUUUUUCCAGUCCUCACACAUGGCAAGCACCCAGAGAACUUAUCGUCUGUCCUUUUUGUUAUGUAGCAGUCUGACAGCAAUAUCAGCUUUCAAGGCUUCAGUUGGAUUGAUGUUCAUGAGCAGAAGGUAACAAACUGCUUGGAAACAGGUCAUUCUGAAAUAGCUUCUCUUGGUUUGCCACCAAAAUAAAAUUGGACAAAAUAUUUGGAUAAAAUGUUUU
rnacentral:lncRNA from 1 species